rnacentral:lncRNA from 1 species
AAGCCGAUGUAACAAACUCAAGGAGGUUCUCUCAUCCUCCAGAAGUACUUGGCAUGCUUUGAGAAUUGAUAAAACAUAUCUCUCGAUCCCACCAACAUCCCCAACAUUGAGAAACUCCCGUAGGCUAUCCAAUGAUAGUUCCAUGGUCCCAUCUUCAGCACCACCAUUACUAAGCAACGGCAAGGCCCAACCAAUGAACUGAUCAACCAAGCUUCCGAGUGUAACAUGGUUUUGUCUUCCAUUUGACGUUUAUAGGGAUCGAACAAACCACAGCACAAAGAGCCCCGUAUGUUACAGCCGCCCCUUGCCUCACUACAUACGAUUUAUCGGAGAGUAGCUGAGAGAAGCCCUGGGCGAGGAAAUUGAUGGGCCCAUAUGUCUUGGGUUUAGGAGCUGAAUGAGGAUGGGCCAUGGGAUCUGUCUGGACCAUUGUUGGUGCUGGGACA